rnacentral:rRNA from 1 species
GAUGAACGCUGGCGGCGUGCCUAAUACAUGCAAGUCGAGCGAACGGACGAGAAGCUUGCUUUUCUGAUGUUAGCGGCGGACGGGUGAGUAACACGUGGAUAACCUACCUAUAAGACUGGGUUAACUUCGGGAAACCGGAGCUAAUACCGGAUAAUAUUUUGAACCGCAUGGUUCAAAAGUGAAAGACGGUCUUGCUGUCACUUAUAGAUGGAUCCGCGCUGCAUUAGCUAGUUGGUAAGGUAACGGCUUACCAAGGCAACGAUGCAUAGCCGACCUGAGAGGGUGAUCGGCCACACUGGAACUGAGACACGGUCCAGACUCCUACGGGAGGCAGCAGUAGGGAAUCUUCCGCAAUGGGCGAAAGCCUGACGGAGCAACGCCGCGUGAGUGAUGAAGGUCUUCGGAUCGUAAAACUCUGUUAUUAGGGAAGAACAUAUGUGUAAGUAACUGUGCACAUCUUGACGGUACCUAAUCAGAAAGCCACGGCUAACUACGUG